UGUGCCAUUGGUCCAUUUCGUUAGGUCUGAUUUUGUCUCUUUUCAGCGAAGCCAAUUCUCUGGUCUCUGAUUGUAUUAUUUUACUCUUGGCAAAAUAUUGAAUGGUCUAAAGUGUAUUAAACACCAACGAUUUAACUUAGGAAUUAACAAGUAAGUUUAGUAAUAAAUAUGUUUAACCAUAGCCCAUUGAUGGAGUAAUGAAGAAGCUUGGUAAAAUAUUUCCUAACUUAACCUCAUUCAUUAUACGAAAUAGUGCACGAGUCAAAAAAUAAAAAUAUGAACAACUACAAAUUAUAAUACAAAAUUUAAUCUUCGAUUCUGCGAAUCGAACCUAACCUGCGAUUCGUUUUUGCGAAUCGAUCGAUUACUUUAUCCGUAUAUCUAUAGAAAUGUCCCGAUGGAUAUGCAUAAAGAGCGAGACCAAAAUGAGUCGUGAAAAUGGUACUCGACUAGAUUUUAAGCUGGUCGUAAUGUUGAUGAACAUCUUUCAUUGGUUCGGACAAUCGGACUGGUUCCCGAUCCAUUGCUAUACAAGCAUCGAAACAAUAAAUUAAUCUGAACGCAAGACCGC